rnacentral:sRNA from 1 species
AAUUUUGUCAUCCUUCUGGGUGUAAACUGGAAGUAUACGUCAAAUUGGCAGAAAUGCUGCAUCACGGUCAGCAUCCAGCUGUAGUCGGGCAAAGGAGGAAGGGAGGAAGGUGUCUGCCAAACGUUCUUCUGCGGCUGGGAAAUAUUUGCUGAAUGGAUGAAGAGCGAACGGCACGUUGAGGGAACAGUACAAUAGCAGCAGCAGCAGCAGCGAGCAACCGCCUACGUGACAUCCGUAUCCAAGACUGUGCACAUGUUUCGUAGCACAUCGAUGCACUGGACGUUUUCCAAGACAUCCGCGCCAGACUUGAAAACCAUAUGCGCGGGGACCUGGACUUGGUCAUACUCGUGCGCUAUCAAAUUCGAUGAUUCCUUAUUAUCAACUCCGUACAGCAGAGCCGGAAUGAGGCAGACACUACGAAGAGCCAAGGAAGACGUGUUAUGGUAUAUGAGAAAGCCACGGCCUCUGCGACCAUAUUACUCGUGCUAGAAAUGAUGUUCUGGGGGAAAAGUACAUAGAGAAGGAGAAUGCGGAGGAUGAAGACGAUGGCGUUGGCGACGGAUGUUGAACGUGUGCAUAUGUUUGCCAACAAACAGUAGA